UUCUCAGCUGGAGUUAUUUACAAUUAUUAUUUAUUUAACUAGAUCACUAUAUCCACUUUAAAUUAUUUAACUAAUAAAUAAUAUUUUAAAACAAAUAAUUAUAUAGUAUGUUUUACAACAAACACUAGAGUAAUACGUGUGAAAUAAUCAUCUCACCUUAUUAUCCCAUCGUUACUAUUCCUAAAAGGUAAACAGAUCACUGCCUAAACUUUCAUCAUCAACUUAACCAAACUUUGCUUAGAAACCGGAAUUUUUAUAAAUGCUGUUUAUAAAUCCAAUUUGGAAGCGAUUUUUAAUUUACUCGUUGCUUAUAGAACUACAUUUCAACGGAAAUUUCAGUUUGACCGUAAAAAAAAGAAGAAAGAACAACUUUUGAAAGGCGGCACUUGUAUGCAGUUUUUUUUUUUUAAAUCAACAAUAAACCGUUAAACAGCUGAAAUCAAAUGGGAUUAAAUAUUUAUCAAAAGUGCUUUUAAAUAAAUACGUUUGAAAAUACAAAGUUGCAAGUUACUUCAUAAAAAAGUUAUAAAAAAAUAAAUGUACAACUCUCUCCCUAAAUUAAUUAAAUCAAACAAAUAAAUAUCAAUUAAAAUUUAAUUAAACAACAACAAAAAAACCUUUUGUGCCACUUGAGUGAUUAAAUGAAUAUUGUGCGUAUUUAAAAAAAUUAAAUUUUAUAUUAAACAAAAUUGAUACAAUUUACGUUGUGUUUUUAAAUUGUGAAAUUUUCAACUUCAUCAGACAAUUGAUUGUUCGAGUGGAUUAGAGGAGAUCUACAAAAAAAAAAACAAAAAUUCAUCAAACAUUUGGAAAAAACAACUUGGAUAUAAACACUUUACUACAUGGAGUAGAAUACAGGUUGGUGUGUUUGGAUUUGAUUAAUUUAUUGUCUCUUAAUUGUGUCAUUAAUUUAGUUGACAUUUUUUUCUGUGUCUCUUUUGUGUUCAUCUCCUGUUUUUUGGGGGGUUUUUAUGUUUCACCUAAAAAGUGACAAAUUAAAAUGUGUUCAAAGCCACAUUGAAAUGAAUAGAAAGUAUAUAUUUCAAUUAACUUAACAAAUGUAUUUAUAUGAUGGAUUAAUUGUGGAGGUCGGUGUAUUUUAUUUUUGGAAAUGUUUGACUUUCACUAAGGGAGGAGG